rnacentral:rRNA from 1 species
UCUUCCGCAAUGGACGAAAGUCUGACGGAGCAACGCCGCGCGAGUGAUGAAGGUUUUCGGAUCGUAAAACUCUGUUGUUAGGGAAGAACAAGUACCGUUCGAAUAGGGAGGUACCUUGCCGGUACCUAACCAGAAAGCCACGGCUAACUACGUGCCAGCAGCCGCGGUACUACGUAGGUGGUAAGCGUUCUCCGGAAUUAUUGGGCGUAAAGCGCGCGCAGGCGGUUUCUUAAGUCUGAUGUGAAAGCCCCCGGCUCAACCGGGGAGGGUCAUUGGAAACUCGGGAACUUGAGUGCAGAAGAGGAGAGUGGAAUUCCACGUGUAGCGGUGAAAUGCGUAGAGAUGUGGAGGAACGCCAGUGGCGAAGGCGACUCUCUGGUCUGUAACUGACGCUGAGGCGCGAAAGCGUGGGGAGCGAACAG